AGCAAGUCAGGUGUUACUACAAUAGCAGGAGGUUAUUCAAAAACAGCAGGCCGUGCUGAUGGACCUGGAUUAAAUGCCUCAUUCUCGGAUGAUUAUGAGCUUUCUUUUAUUCCUAAAAGAUGCGCUCUAAUGAUCUCUGACCAUGGUAAUAGAUUAGUCCGCGAAAUACAACUUAAAGCCGAGGAUUGUUCAAGAGAUUCUCAUUCUGAUCUAAGAGCAGUUUCUACAUGGCUCUUAACCGUGGGACUUCCCUGCUUGGUCUGCUUGAUUAUUGGGUUGGUUAUUCGUCCUUACGUCAUCCCAAAUGAUUAUGUCAGUCGUCUUCAGCACAACAUGACAUGGAAGCACUUCCUAAUCAAUCCGGAG
rnacentral:misc_RNA from 1 species